UCACAGGCAGCCCCAGACUUCCUGUCGGAGGAUUCCGGAGUUUAAACCCUCCCCUCACCAUCGUUCGGAAGACGUUCGAGUCGACGGAGAACCCGGACGACUUCCUUCCGUCGGUGAUGACGUGUGUGAACUACCUGAAACUGCCGGAUUACUCCAGCAUCGAGAUCAUGCGCGAGAAACUGUUGAUUGCUGCGCGCGAGGGCCAGCAGUCUUUCCAUCUGUCUUGAUCUCACCCUCCUGCACCCUCUCACUCAAAAUGGCCUUUAAUCAACUCACUGCAGAACCACACAAAUCGUGACUUCUUCCUUUAGAGUUCCUCUUCCUCUUUCAUUUUUUCUUUUCCUUUUUCUUUCCGUUUUUUUUUUUUUUAAACAAACACCCACACUGAGGAAAAAUAUGUACAGCCUACUUGUUUAAAGAAAAGCAGCUUGCAGAAACUAAACGAUAGAACAUAAGAGACUUCCUUUUGACUCCUGACCAGGAGGAAAGGGUGUUAUGCGACUCGUCAGAUAAAAAAAAAAAACGGAAGAAAACUUUUUUUUAAAGAAACGAAACUUCAGAGCAGAUUAUAAAAUAUAUCAGUAGUUGAGAGAUGUUCAAGCCGAAAAAAAGAGGAGAAAAUCUGGGUGACGUUUUAAAACUUGCGUUGCUGUCUGAUGUAUCAAGAAAAAAAAGGGAUGUUUUUUUUUUUCUCCUGGUGAAUGACAUCUUCACUGUGUGUUCCUGUUAGGGAGGGGGCAUCCAUCAAGCUGGCGAGGGUUCCUAUAGCUCCAAAGAUCAUUUGUACAGACAAACAUUUGCAGAUUUUGCUUAUUCGACACAUUUGAUAGAAUAGCUGUGUGCUCUCCUCCCCAGUUUCCCCUCUGUUCUGUAUUAUACCCCCGAACGUCUUGUUACAUUUUGGUUCCACUUUGUUUAAUUUCUCUUGUGUCUCCUUUUUAUUUGAGAGAAUUUUGAACGUGUAAGAGAGUUCCAGUUGGUUGAAUGCGGGUAGUGUUGGAAGUGUAGUAUCUUUAUUAUAUUAUUAUUAUUAUAAUUAUUAUUAUUAUUUUGGUUUGUUUUGGUUUUUUUAACCCAAGUUGAAAUUGUUUUCUGGCCGACAUUUCACAUAAAGUGUCAGCUCCAUGUUGAAAAGAUGUUUCCAUUGUGUUGGAUGAAUAGACUCCUAUAUGGUUAUAGUAGUGUGCCUCUGCUGGACUUCUGGGGACUUGAGGUCUUAACGAUGGGCCUGCUGAAGUUGCUUGGCUGGUGAAGCCGGGCUUUAUUCCCGUAAUGUAGCUGAGCACAAGAAAUUCAUUUAAAAGAAUUGGCUGGUCUUAUUUUAUGGUUUCAUGGCCAGAUAGCAUUUCAGAAAAAAAAAGAAAAAGUUCAUUAAAUAAAAUAAAGUUUAUAUGCAGUUUUCACACCCGGUUUGAGGUGGGAUUGCCUGCUUUUUUGUUUAAUUUUCUAUUGUUUCUUUUUUUCCUCUUGCUGUAGUUUAUUUUUGCACUGCUGGCUUGGAACAAACCGUGGUGUGCUCUGCAGUCUGUGGCCAGGAGGAGGUGCUGCUGUGCGCUCUCCUGUCCUCAUUGUUCAUGUGCUGGUUUCUAAGAUCUGCAAUAAUUUACUGCAUCAGG